rnacentral:rRNA from 1 species
CCCUUAGAUGUUCUGGGCCGCACGCGCGCUACACUGAUGCAUUCAACGAGUCUAAAACCUGCUCUGAUAGGGGUGGGUAAUCUUUUGAAUGUGCAUCGUGAUUGGGAUGGAUGAUUGCAAUUUUUCAUCUUCAACGAGGAAUGCCUAGUAAACGCAAGUCAUCAGCUUGCAUUGAUUACGUCCCUGCCCUUUGUACACACCGCCCGUCGCUCCUACCGAUUGAAUGAUCCGAUGAAUAUCAUGGAUUGAGGAUGCAAGUAGGUUCGCCUAUCUUCAUCUUCGAGAAGUGAAGUAAAUCUUAUCAUUUAGAGGAAGGAGAAGUCGUAACA